rnacentral:rRNA from 1 species
UACGUAGGGUCCAAGCGUUGUUCGGAUUCACUGGGCGUAAAGGGUGCGUAGGCGGUCGGGUAAGUCUGAUGUGAAAUCUCACAGCUUAACUGUGAAACUGCAUUGGAUACUAUCCGGCUCGAGGAAUGGAGGGGAGACUGGAAUACUUGGUGUAGCAGUGAAAUGCGUAGAUAUCAAGUGGAACACCAGUGGCGAAGGCGAGUCUCUGGACAUUUCCUGACGCUGAGGCACGAAAGCCAGGGGAGCAAACGGG